rnacentral:rRNA from 1 species
AUUGAACGCUGGCUGCAGGCUUAACACCUGCAAGUCUAGCAAGCGGCGGACGGUUGAGGGAUGUCUGGGAAACUGCCUGAUGGGGGGGUAUAACUCCUGGCACCGGUAGCUAAUACCGCCUACACUCAGAUGUGCCCAGAUGGGAUUAGCUAGUAGGUGGGGUAAUGGCUCACCUAGGCGACGAUCCCUAGCUGGUCUAAGAGGAUGACCAGCCACACGGGAACUGAGACACGGUCCAGACGCCUACGGGAGGCAGCAGUGGGGAAUAUUGCACAAUGGGCGCAAGCCUGAUGCAGCCAUGCCGCGUGUGUGAAGAAGGCCUUCGGGUUGUAAAGCACUUUCAGCGAGGAGGCGUUACUCGCAGAAGAAGCACCGGCUAACUCCGUGCCAGCAGCCGCGGUAAUUC